UUGGUUAAAAAGCUCGUAGUUGGAUCUCAACAGCCUUGAAGCGGUUAACUUUGUAGUUUUACUGCUUUAUAGGCUGUGCUUUUGCUGGAGGUUUAGGGGUGCUCUUGAUCGAGUGUCUCUGGAUGCCAGCAGGUUUACUUUGAAAAAAUUAGAGUGCUCAAAGCAGGCUAAAAUGCCUGAAUAUUCGUGCAUGGAAUAAUAGAAUAGGAUGUCGAUCCUAUUUUGUUGGUUUUCGGGACUCGACAUAAUGAUAAAUAGGGACAGUCGGGGGCAUUUGUAUUCAAACGACAGAGGUGAAAUUCUUGGACCGUUUGAAGACAAACUACUGCGAAAGCAUUUGCCAAGAAUGUUUUCAUUAAUCAAGAACGAAAGUUAGAGGUUCGAAGGCGAUUAGAUACCGCCCUAGUUCUAACCAUAAACGAUGCCAGCUAGCGAUCUGCCUGCGUUUUUACUGUAGACUGGGCAGGAAGCUUCCGGGAAACCAAAGCAUUUGGGUUCCAGGGGAAGUAUGGUUGCAAAGCUGAAACUUAAAGGAAUUGACGGAAGGGCACCACCAGGAGUGGAGCCUGUGGCUUAAUUUGACUCAACACGGGAAAUCUCACCAGGCCCGGACACUGGAAGGAUUGACAGAUUGAUAGCUCUU
rnacentral:rRNA from 1 species